rnacentral:lncRNA from 1 species
AAUGCCUGUCCCUCCUCAAUGCUGCCCAGAAGACAAUGGGUGGUUUAUUCUCUGGAAAGGAUAAAACAGAAGGUCUAUACUGGGGAAAGCUGUGCUGGCAUCAGAGCUUCCUACCUUUCUGUGAGAUGGAAUACAAAAAAGAACGUAUCCAAAAGACUCGUCCUCCUCCUUUAUACCUCCUUGGACAGAGAGGUCUGGCUCUCAGGAAAAUGGCUCCCACUGGCCACGUUGCUAUAUGAACCAUUUUGUCUUGCCAGCUAGUAUAGACAGAAAUUUCUCCUUCAAAUGUAGCCUCUCAUCAGAAGCUGUGCCAAGCCAGCGGCAUCUCCCUGGCAAGAAAGUGUCUCACCAGCUCCAUUUUCAUCUUUCAGUGUCAAGUCAAUAUCAAGUUCAUUUUAAGAAUCAACCUUUGGUGACUCUUCCAGGGCCACUUACCAUCUCCACUAAAGAUUGCCUUUGUAAAGCAUUUUUUAAAAAUAGAGAAUUCUUUUCAUGUUUCCCCAGAGAUAUAGCACCUUUGAAAUUGACCCAAGACAGAGCCAGAGAUUCAAUGUGAUACAGAACUUCUCCUUGUCAGCUGCUACUUGUCUUGAGCCUUGACAAAAGAAACAGAGAAUGAGCACAUGAGAAAGAUGAAAGGACCUCCCAUUAAGAGUCUGGAAUUGAUUUUUUUUUUUUUUUUUGGUCUCCUGGAAAGCCGUUAUGAAACAUGAGUGUAGAGAGGUUACCAACUGACUCCCUUUCACACAAGAUGCUGCCCUCAAAGCUAUAUCACUGAGGGCAACAAUGGUAGAUUCAGCAGAUGGCUGCUUAAAGCCAAAAGCCAUGGAUCUGGAAGGGGAACACACUUCUAUAGGUAAACAUAUGCAAGAAUUCACACAUUAUGCUGGAAAAAAAAUGGACACAGAAAAAUCAAAUAUUUGGAGAAAAUAAGAGGAGGUCCAAGAAACAGAUAUUUCUAGGGCUAAAUCAGCUUAUUACAGAGAAAUCCAUCACUGGCUGGACCAUACGUGGAUGGUGUUUAAUAGAUAACACAAGAGAACACUCAGAUAUGGACUUAUUCAGGAUGCUCAAGACUGAAAGUGUCAAAAGUGUGAGACAGAGAACAUUCAUUCACUGAGAUGCAAGUUAAUGGCCAAGGGAAACCACCAGAUGGAGUUUCCUGCAUUAUUUUUUUCCCUGUUUGAAAGCAGAGUCAGAAUUAAAUUUUGUGGAACAUAACACUUACACAUUGAGAGAAGAGGCCUGUUGAGAAAAUGAAUUCAAUAUUAGGACACUAAUAUUACUAGCGCCCCUCUCAGGGCCUAGGAAGGGGCUCGUGAAAGUGAGAGGCUUAUGCAUCAUUAGUCAGACAAUAAAUUCACCUCUGGUUAAGAGUUAUGUAGAGGAACACGCAUUGCUGUUUGAACGCUUUCUCUGGGCAUCACCCCUGUGAUAUCUUACCGUAACUUCCCUGGUUGAAUUGAGGGUUGGCAAAGAACAAAACUGUCAAAUCUGGAUUAGUAGAUUUGCAAUGGAAAGUUUGACGUGGGAAG